rnacentral:rRNA from 1 species
UACAGAGAGUGCGAACGUUGUUCGGAAUUACUGGGCUUAAAGCGCACGUAGGCGGCAUCGUAAGUGUCCGGUGAAAUCCCACGGCUCACCCGUGGAACUGCCUGGCAGGCUGCGAUGCUCGAGUGUGGUAGGGGAGAGCGGAACUCCUGGUGGAGCGGUGAAAUGCGUAGAUAUCAGGAGGAACACCGGUGGCGAAGGCGGCUCUCUGGUCCACAACUGACGCUGAGGUGCGAAAGCUAGGGGAGCAAACGGG